CAGCCGCCGCGGUAAUACGUAGGGUGCGAGCGUUAAUCGGAAUUACUGGGCGUGAAGCGUGCGCAGGCGGUUGUGUAAGACAGGUGUGAAAUCCCCGGGCUUAACCUUGGAACUGCGCUUGUGACUGCACAGCUAGAGUAUGGCAGAGGGGGGUGGAAUUCCACGUGUAGCAGUGAAAUGCGUAGAGAUGUGGAGGAACACCGAUGGCGAAGGCAGCCCCCUGGGCCAAUACUGACGCUCAUGCACGAAAGCGUGGGGAGCAAACAGGAUUAGAUACCCGUGUAGUCCCUGUCUCUUAUAC
rnacentral:rRNA from 1 species